rnacentral:lncRNA from 1 species
UUAAUAUUCUUAAGAUAAAAACUUACAGAACUUAUUUAUUACUAUGAACCAUUUUGAGUUGGCUGUUUGAUCUUUCGAAAUUUUGAUUUUACUACCAAACUUUUCAGUUUGUUUGAUUUGAAUCGGUCAACAAUAUUUUUAACUUCUGCAAUUCUCGCAACUAUACAUUUAUUAGAGUAAAUACUUCGCUUAAAAUUGGAAGUUAAAAUAUCGUUGACUGACUCAAAUCAAGUAAAUUGAAAUGUUGGAUAGUAAAAUCAAAAUUUUGAAAGAUUAGUUAGUGAAUGAAAUAUAUAAUCCAUAUAUACAUACAUACAAUAAUUUA